rnacentral:misc_RNA from 1 species
AACGCACAUUGCGCCUUUUGGUAUUCCGAGAGGCACGCCUGUCUGAGCGUCAGCAAAACCUUCGGGAGUAGCUCUUUAUUGACUUAUCCCCGGCGUUGGCGGAGGGCGGUCCCCCCUGGGGAUCCCCCCGCUUAAACCUGGCGCGGGGCAAGUGCUGGUGACCGCUUCAAUAGUAGAGAUAUUUUUGAUAGCGUAUAGCCCGCCUGCCCCCUCAAAGCAGUAGUUUUUACUACCUUCCUUUUGACCUCAGAUCAGACGAGGAUACCCGCUGAACUUAA